rnacentral:misc_RNA from 1 species
UUGUUCUUCCGUCCAAACAAACUGAAAAAGAUACACUUCCAAUCGAUCGGGGAGCUGUGUUAUCUCAUUACACAAGCAAUGAGGUACAUUUGCAGGACCUGUUCGCGUAUGGCCGAUCCUGCGGCAGCCAAGAAUCUCUUCGAGCCAUCGAGUUGUUCCGUUCUGCGUCAAAUAGAGACCUUAACAAAUUUGCAGUUGAAAGAGGACGACAAAUUGCCCAGGCUCAUGUGCCAAGACUGCCAACAUGACCUGCAGAUUGCCAUCGACUUUCGUCGGGUUUGCAUCGAGGCCCAGGAGCUCCUCGAACUUCAGUUGAGGCAGGUGGAGAAGGAGGAGGAGGCUUUCGAAAGCCUGGCGGAGCAAUGGUUGGAUGACUGUCCGGAGGAGCUAUCCAACUUGUCGCCAGCUCUGCAAAUGAAUGAUGAAGUGGAUUUUUUCUUUGAUCCGGAGCCACAGGACAAUGGAGGGGAGGCUGCCAUAGCGACCACUUCAACAACAGAGUGCAGGAAUGAAUUUAAGACAGUGGUUAGUCCGUAUUGCUCUCCAGAACUAUCUUCAGAUAGUCAGUUGUCGGAUGAGCACUCUAACAUAGUAGUCUCUCCCGAAUCGGAGCCGGCAAGUCCUUCAGAAAGUGACGCUAUCGACAAUCCGGACACUUCCAUUCACACGUGCAGCAAGUGUGGCCUAGAUUUUGAAAACGUGGACGAACUGAAGCUGCACAAGUACCAUCUCCACGACGUCCCUCCAGAUACCAAAACGAUUUUGCAUAUGAUUCCAUAUAUUCCCGCUGCUUUGAUGGGAAUCAAAGACGGAGCAUUUAGAAAUGGAAAUUGAGAUUUUUCAUGAAUACCCUAAACCCUAUCCCUGAACGACUAUAACAGUCGUACACAGCUUAUUCACAAUUCGUUUGUGACCACUGCGACGAGGGCUUCCGAUCAGCAGCCGCACUCACGCGGCACUGCAACAUCGUUAAUCUUCCAUUGAAG